UACGAAGGGGGCUAGCGUUGCUCGGAAUCACUGGGCGUAAAGCGCACGUAGGCGGGUCGUUAAGUCGGGGGUGAAAUCCUGGAGCUCAACUCCAGAACUGCCUUCGAUACUGGCGACCUUGGAGUCCGGGAGAGGUGAGUGGAACUCCGAGUGUAGAGGUGAAAUUCGUAGAUAUUCGGAAGAACACCAGUGGCGAAGGCGGCUCCACUGGCCCGGUACUGAC
rnacentral:rRNA from 1 species